GAUAGGGUGACUGAAUUAUAGGUAAUAAAUUGUAAAUUUAUUUAUGGCUUUAUGGCCCCUUAUCA
rnacentral:tRNA from 1 species